UACGAGGGGGGCGAGCGUUGUUCGGAAUUAUUGGGCGUAAAGGGUGCGUAGGCGGUUUGGUAAGUCUUAUGUGAAAUCUACAGGCUCAACUUGUAGUCUGCAUGAGAAACUGCCGGGCUUGAGUAUGGGAGAGGUGAGUGGAAUUCCUGGUGUAGCGGUGAAAUGCGUAGAUAUCAGGAGGAACACCUGUGGCGAAAGCGGCUCACUGGACCAUAACUGACGCUGAGGCACGAAAGCUAGGGGAGCAAACAGG
rnacentral:rRNA from 1 species